GGUCUUUAAUUGUGCGGCAUCAAAGGUUGUACAAUAGAAACAAACUUCUGUGCCCUGUUAAAAUUACCGUGUCUGAAUGUGGUCUGGCUGCAGAAUGUUUGAAGGCAUCUUACAGCUUGCUUUCAAAGAUUCAGCUUUUCUCACUGUGUCACAAAAUUACAAAUUGAGUUCCACAGAGCAUCCGAGUUCUGCAGCGCUGCUCCGAGGUGCUGAGGUCCUGGUUCCUUGCAAAGCUCAUAGACUCUAAGCUCUCUACCUAAAUGAAAGUUCACAGGAGGAAAUAAUCCACCUCUUGUGUGGUAAGCAUGCGGAAUAAAUGUCAGCAGCGAACCAAGAACUUCACAGGUGUCCAUAUGAAAUGCUACUUCUGCUUCUGCUUGGCUAGGGUCUUCUGUUCUUUUUCCCCCACAAAAAUGACAAGGCUGAACAAGAGAAAGUAAUAGCUAUAAUUAAGAUCAGAGUCAGGAAAGAGAAAUGGGGAAUAAAUUAUAAUGAAUUAAGCCCAUAUAGUUACCACAGGAAAUAGAGAAAUAAAUGGGAGCGGUGAUAAAAUUAGAAAUGAGAAAUGAUUUAUUCUGCCAAUAUUUUCCUAGAAGUGUUAGCUAAGCAUGACUAUAAGAGCUAAGAUGUCUCACAUCCACAGCAAAUGGGAAUAGUAGCUAUUAACCUUCUUGGUAGGUACACUGCUGGUGGAUUGGAAACAGGCAGAAACUACAUCAGGUUAACACCUAAUGGGAGCUAAAUUUGGUAUUACGAGCCUCUCACAUCACACAUUUCAACAGCCUAAUGAAGCCUCUUGCUUCAUGCUCCCAACCAUUUAAAAACAAACAAACAAACAAAGGGAAAAGAGAUUUUUUAAAGAUACAGAUUUCUGUUUCAGCCCAGAAGAUUUGGAUUCAGUCUGGGGAGUAGCUCAAACAUUUUUAAGUUUGAGUUUUAAGUCUCUCAGGGACUUUUAGUGAGCAGGCAAAUAUUUAAA
rnacentral:lncRNA from 1 species